AUUUAAAUAGCUUAUAUAAUAGAGCAUAACAUUGAAGCUGUUAAGGAGACAAAUUUGUCUUUAAAUA
rnacentral:tRNA from 1 species